GCAUGUGAAGGCCAUCUGUUUGUAACACAUCUCCACUGAGGGCCAAGGUUGCUUCAGCUGAUCUGGCAGGGAAGACAGCUAUGUUCUCUUUCUCUCACCAUUCUAUUUGGGCACCUGCCAACGAUGUACAUUUGGUCAAGGAGCACAGCCUUCUAAACAGAAGAGCCAUUUAUCUUAUCAAGGGUAUUCAAGGAUCUGUGCUACUCUGCAAGUUCCACGUAAGUUUAUUUGAGGCCAAUGGGGGAAUAACAUAGGACAGUAAAUCUUUUAAGACUGCCUUUCUCUAAAAACCUGUCCCAGAGAUUGACAGCACUCACAGUUCAGAAUUU
rnacentral:snRNA from 10 species